rnacentral:rRNA from 1 species
ACGAAUGCUGGCGGCGUGCCUAAUACAUGCAAGUCAACGGUCUUUCUAUGGAAGCUUGCUUCCACUGAGAAGAUAGUGGCGAACGGGUGAGUAACACGUGGGUAACCUGCCCAUAAGAGGGGGAUAACAUCCGGAAACGGGUGCUAAUACCGCAUAGUUUUCUUGAUCGCAUGAUUGAGAAAGGAAAGACGGCCUUUGUGCUGUCGCUUAUGGAUGGACCCGCGGCGUAUUAGUUAGUUGGUGAGGUAAUGGCUCACCAAGACGAUGAUACGUAGCCGACCUGAGAGGGUGAUCGGCCACAUUGGGACUGAGACACGGCCCAAACUCCUACGGGAGGCAGCAGUAGGGAAUCUUCCGCAAUGGACGAAAGUCUGACGGAGCAACGCCGCGUGAGUGAAGAAAGGUUUUCGGAUCGUAAAACUCUGUUGUCAGAGAAGAACAAGUUGGAGAGUAACUGCUCCAGCCUUGACGGUAUCUGACCAGAAAGCCACGGCUAACUACGUGCCAGCCGCUGC